UGGCUGGCGCAGCCUGAUCAGCAUGCCGCGUGUGUGAAGAAGGCCUUCGGGUUGUAAAGCACUUUUGUCCGGAAAGAAAACGCCGUGGUUAAUACCCGUGGCGGAUGACGGUACCGGAAGAAUAAGCACCGGCUAACUACGUGCCAGCAGCCGCGGUAAUACGUAGGGUGCAAGCGUUAAUCGGAAUUACUGGGCGUAAAGCGUGCGCAGGCGGUCCGCUAAGACAGAUGUGAAAUCCCCGGGCUUAACCUGGGAACUGCAUUUGUGACUGGCGGGCUAGAGUAUGGCAGAGGGGGGUAGAAUUCCACGUGUAGCAGUGAAAUGCGUAAAGAUGUGGAGGAAUACCGAUGGCGAAGGCAGCCCCCUGGGCCAAUACUGACGCUCAUGCACGAAAGCGUGGGGAGCAAACAGGAUUAGAUACCCUGGUAGUCCACGCCCUAAACGAUGUCAACUAGUUGUCGGGUCUUCAUUGACUUGGUAACGUAGCUAACGCGUGAAGUUGACCGCCUGGGGAGUACGGUCGCAAGAUUAAAACUCAAAGAAAUUUUGACGGG
rnacentral:rRNA from 1 species